GCCUCAGCCCCGCGUCAUCUGGAUACUGCAGACAAACGGCGUUAAAUAUGCAUAAGGAAGAGUUCAUCUCUUAAAGGAGAACUUACCCGGACAGAAAGUUCGCGGUCCAACAGUAGGAACACAGGCGUGGUGUCAUUUCUUUUCGUUUCGGACAAUAACACAUUUUUACAAAUGGUUGUAAAGUCUUUAGCGCCAUCUAACGGGAGCAAUACGUCUUUCUGCUCCACAGAGAAUAUGGCUAAUUAAUAAGCGAGAUCUCUGCAUGCAGAAAAUGAGCUACAAUCUUGCACCUCUCUGGAAGAAAAAAAUUCGGGAGCAAGUCCUAAUGGUAGCCUGAUUUGUGUAAAACAGUUUGCGGGUGUGGGAUGCAAAGUAUAUUUUAAAUGUACAUGAUGCAUCUGUUUUUCUUAAAUUCAACAGAAGUUAAGCUGCAGCUCUGAAAGUCUUUCAGCAUUGUGGCUUUUCACAUACUCAGAAGAUGAGUGCAACUCUUAAAGGAAACUGAAGGCAGACUGGAUCUCUCUGUCGGUCCCAGAAGGGACACAAGCAGGAUUAGUUGCAGAAGGGUAAAGGACAUGACUUUUUUCUGCAUUGUAGGCCUGUCACUCUCUGAAGGAGGCCGCGCUUCCUCACGGCCGCAUACCUGUAAAGCAGAAAGAGCUUUGAGGUUUUCCAGUGCCUAUCUACAUACUGUUAACUGAACAGAAGAUUUCAUGUCAUGUGGAAUAGGCCCUCACUUUACAGCUAACAUGGUGGAAAGCAAAUGAGAGUAUCUGAGAGAAAAAGAGAUUUUCGGUUUAGCAGAACACACCUGAAUUUUGGAUGUACUAUUAUCUGUAUUAAGCUCUGAGUAUUAAAAUGCUGAUUGUUCCAGUCCUCAUUACCUUAUUUUACCUCUGCCUUUUCCCCAUUGCAUGCUUUGCUUUACCUCCAUUGUCUGUCUGCUUAACUUGUAAAAUGCUAAAAAAAGUUUUGAUAUUUACCUGUUUAUGAUUAAAU